ensembl:lncRNA
UUACGAUCUGACGAGGGAGAAUCCCGUUAAUCGUCUGACUCAUCUUCUCCACUAAUGACUGAGGGGAGGACUGCAGUUGUGGGACUCCUAAGCAGGAACAGACCCAAGCCACGAGACAUGAGACACCAGGCAUGGGACUAGGGGAGGAGGGGACAGACGAUGCUAAGAGGAGAGAAUUAGAGGGAGGAAGAGCGAAAGAAAGACACUCUUUCAGCUCCAGUCAUUAGAGGACAGAAAGAACGUCAAUGAAGAUAACAAUGAAGCCAUUUGCAACAGCAGUGUGAGUGUGACACCGGAGAGACAGAGACUGGACAGCACAGUAGCCACACUAGAUGAGAACUAUUACAGAUCUGCUCACUCACACGGGCAACCUACGAGCUGGGCGACACCCUCCAAGAAAUACCAAUGAAAUAUGCUCAAGCUACCAUCCUCAGAGAGAAGCGUUAAAGCAGUGCACAACAUUGGACAAGCCUAAAACAAUGGGGAAGACUAGCGUUACUACCCUUUUCCGAUCACAGCUCUCAGACACCACCCUUGGUGUGGACAUUCUAACUUUCGCCAUCAGAGCUCGCCUUCAAGCCCUCCUGACGAAGUAGGACCUGGCCACCUGGUCUUCGUCCAGCCAAGGCCCACACUGCACCCUCCCCUCUACCACCCAUGACAGUGAGACAACUGCGCAUGCUCUAAAUGGCUGCAGUUUUUACAAAAGCCUUUACAUAGCUAGGCAUGAUCGGCUGGUGGUGGACCUGGUGUCACAAAGCAUUAAAGACGUUCACAAGUGGACUGGUUCAUCGACGAGAAUAGAGGCAAUAACUCUUUGCGCAAACACCCCAGCCAUGUGGACAAUGGACACUUGUUUCACCUGCGAGUUGCUGAAAUUGCAGUAUCACAACCCAUGGUUUUCACUGUGUUUGGGAAUCUUGGGCAUGUACAUAAACAGGUUUUACGUGGAUUGAAGCUGGGCGAGUUAAGCAAGACUAAUGCAAAAAGACUAGCAAAGUUGCGCUUGAUUUCUGCCAUUACUGGUAGUGCGUCUAUCUGGAGACAGCGAUGUCAUGUCUACCCAUAAUCACUAGAGUCGGACUGAUGAUGGAGGGGUAGCACAAGCAUUCUGUGUCUGAUCCAUAUCUGUACAAAUCUGCAACAUGCUUCCAUGUAAUGUUUGGAUCAGUAAUUCUUUGUCUGUGUUAAAAUACAAGUAUUAGUGUGUGUGCGUGCAAGGGAAAAAAAGGGGACAGAAGCACUGUUAUUCAGCUCAACCGCAUAGCAAUUAGCCUCAUCCUGUAGGGGGUGACCUCCCACUUCACCCUUGACCUUUGCGGAGCGCAUGGAGAACACGCGUGGUAGACGGCCUGCUGACAGAUAGGCUGGGGGCGGGGGACACAGAGCCAUGGGACACCGUCCCUGUCCUAGAGACGCCUGUUCAGGGUGACUUUCACAGCGACUGGGCUAUUCCCGAGUCAGCUAAACACAGUUAAAGGUACAGUCCACGAUUCUAAUCCCAUACACUUUUUGUCAAAUUCAGCAAAUUGCUCCUUGCAAUUCCCUAGAUGCCAGUCUGGUGCGUGGGCUCAAAAGCACUAUGGUGUUUGUACAGUCCUGCCAAAGAGGCUCGGACCGAGUCAUGUGCUACUCCAGCCAAUCACCCCCUUGCUUCAGUAGCGUGGAAGAAAGAGGUGUAACUGGAUUGGCUAGUGACUUCGCAUAUCAACAACCUUUUCAUCAUAAUUGCACACUGUGCCUUUAACAGUAACUGGCUGUUUUCCCCUACUCAUAAUCUGCCGUUUUCAAAUGGACACUUCAGGCCUUCUAAAUCCUGUUUUUUGGCUGUACUCAGAAGCUCAUUAAAAUGUACAUACCCAUAAUGCAAUCUCAAUUCCUUUCUAAAUGGCAGCCAAAAACAUUCAACAAUUAUCUGAACUAAGUUUUGAAAAACAAAAUGCAUUUGGAAUCUUUUGCCGAUUGAUCCAUUGUUGUGUUCUUGCAGAGAAACAAACGUUUGUCGCACAAACGACCCUUCGCACAGCAGAGCCUGUGUGGGCGAAAACAAAUCUCUCCCAUUUGAACAGGCCGAGAACCAAUUAUAGACGGCUCCUGCUGCUGAUAUUGGUUAAGGCUGCCGUCUACAUCACUCAAUCUUUUUGCCUCUCUCUCGCUCGUUCUUUCCUGUCCCUUUAGAUCUCUUCACCGCCGUCUGCAUCUACUUCCUCCUCUCAUUUCUCUCUCUCUCUCUGUCUCUCCCUCCCGCAUACUGUGGCAGAACGGAGCUUGCAGCAUAAGAACAACCUUGUAAGGACAAGCUCUAAGAAAACACACACACACGCACACAAUUCCCACUGAAAACCUGUAUUUAUCGCUAUUCUACCAUGAUGGGAAUGGGAGCCAAACUCUAACCGUUAAUCCAUCCCCUGGCGACCUGGUAUCAUAGCUAAUAAUCAAAUGCCACAGCUCGACAGUGUGAAUGCGAAACACAAGAUUGCGUUGGGGGGGGGGGGGACUUCUCCCCCUUCAUUGAGUAAGCCCUUGCCCCACUGAUCACUGAUGGCAGAGUAAGUAAUUGCCCCACUGGUGUUCCGUUAUUUCUCUCAGGAUUGUUUCAUGUCUAUGUGAAGCCACAAGUGGUUCUGAUCACUUUGAACCCAAGACUGCCUUUUAUGGGGAGCUGAUUUUGAGAAAUUAAACAUUGCUUCAGGUUAUACAGCAAACGGUGACUGCUAGUUGCUAUGGUUGCUGCUACGCUAACUAAGGAAACAUUUAAAUAACCUUAAACCGUUUAAAUCGCAGAGUUGCAUUUGCAUGAAAUGGUAGCUAGUUAUCUAGCCGACAAUAUAGUCUCCCCCAGUUUUACUUAUAAAAUGACAGUGGGCAAGAGGAUGCCUGUGCAGCUUCUCUGCUUGGCACGCAAAUGACUGUUACAUAAGUUUCAUUUAUACCAUGGCUUUGUUGAAUCUCCAACUGUGACACAUUCCUUAGAAUUCUCUCAGAACAUGGAAAUUAUAUCCAGAAAUGAUUAUAAUGCAAGUGAGGCAGCAGGACAAUGGAUUUCACAGCGUUCAGGUAGCAGAAAUGAACGCACUUCGAGGGGCACCGGCCACUCUGCUUUGCAUCGUGGCUGUACUACCACCUCGAACGUGCAUUAAAUUCUGCUACCCGAACUCCGUGUCUCAUACAUGCCUCUCCGUGUCUCAUACACGCCUCUCCGUGUCUCAUACACGCGUCUCCGUGUCUCAUAAAUGCGUCUCCGUGUCUCAUAAAUGCGUCUCCGUGUCUCAUAAAUGCGUCUCCAUAUCUCAUACAUGAGUCUCCGUGUCUUACUAUCUCAUACAGAGACUUUGCUUCAUAUUAACACACCCUACCAAUUGCCAACUGCUAAGAUGGUUCCCCAAGCUGAUGAUAGCUAGGAUAGUUCUUAGGUAGGUCAACUGGCAUGAGAACCUGCAUGUUUUAGACGUCUCGUGGAGGAUCGUACUCCCUAGCAUCCCGUGUACAUCUACAGUCUGGUGGGAAUACACAACACAUGUUACUUCACCGUUACGGAAGACGGAGUGUGAAUGAUUGAAUGUUACCUGUUCUGUAUUGUUUUUACUUUACAGGUUUUAUAUGUGUAAAAGGGAACAAAGAGCACCUGCAGUGUUGGUUUGACAAAUGCUAUGAUGGGGAAAAGCCACCGAUUGGUCCUUUUUCUGGAUGAAAAGCUGACUGACGUGAGCCACCAGCUCCUGUUUUUAGAGCCCGACGGUGGAGGAAAUGCACCUGGUCUUCACCAGCUCCAGGGCUGGGGGACAUUUACACACGCCAUCGCUCCAUCCGUCCACUGGAACUCUGCGAGGCUUUGGAAAUGCCUAGUCUAUAAUCUAUAAGAGUUUUCCGAACACCAGGGAAAACAGUAACUCUAUUACUAAUGUUACUGACAAAGUAUUGGAUGAAAGAAGAGGAGAGGUAGGAGAUGAGGGGGGACUGAGAGGAAGGAUGGUUUCUAGGCUCACUGUUCACUCAGACCAUUUAACUUUAGACAGUGUGUCAUCUGUGUGUGUGUGUGUGUGUGUGUAAUACUGUACGUGUGUAUACCGAGCGGAGAGAGACAGAGAGAACGAAAGAAAAGUGUGAGAGAGCAGAGAAGGAGUGCUACUUAUUUCCCACCAUGAGUGAAACCACAUAACCACAGACUGGCCUCCUACUGCACAUGACCUGCUGCUGAAAUAUUUACCACUGCUGCAGCAGCACUGAGGCUGAGCAGCUGAGUGACUGUGCAGAGUCUAGCCUGUGUGUGUGGGUGUGUGUGUGUGUGUGUGUUCUGUGGGGGGGGUUCCCUCUCCUCUGGUGGCCUGUGUGGUGGAAGAAAAUAUUGAUACACUUGAGUAUCAAAUGUUUUGUGACACUCUAUCGACACACGAUCAAUUUUUAACUAAUGGUUUACAUGCAAAGACUUGCAUCAGACAGUGGUGCAUUUUGGGUUUAAAACCCCCCAACCGCUAGACACCAGUGUUCUUCCACUCCAACGUCAUAAUGCAUAUGGUGGUGUGUUAUUUAGCAGUUUAGCGCGUUCUUAGAGUUUUUGCACUAUAACGCCUUGCUCACAGUAUGGCAGUUGUUGCAAUAUAAUGGUAACCUUUGUAUCAUGAUACGUGUUGUAUUGCCAGAUUCUUGCCAAUGCGCAGUCUUAGUGGUCAAGCAGCCAAGCCUAAAGCCCAGUUCACACCCAAGAUCCACGUCCAAGAAAAAAAAUACUUGUAGAAAAUGACAGGGGUUAGAUAGCCACCACACAAUAUCUCAAGACAACUGACGUGACGGCUUGCAAGCAGAUUCUUCCUCUCAAGUCAAUAUUUUUGAAAAGCUGCACAGGAAUUCCUAUUAUGCAAAUGACUUAUAGGUUAUAGGCUAAGUGGCUGCAAGUGCUUGCAACUUGUGUAAUUGCAAAUUAUUGUCCUAAAUAGUCCAUAAACCACCAUCAUAAUAAAUAAACGGCACAUUGAGCUGAAAACGCAAGCACUUACAACUCAGUCCGUUCAUCAGCAUUGUCACACCACUAUCACACCAUCACGCUACUGCUGGCUCUUUAAGCGCAGUACAACCUGUAUCACAACCUGUAAAGUGCAGCUCGUCAUGGAACUGAAACUGCUGAGCUAGGCACCCGCAGAAAACACCUCAACAAUCCACAGUGAGUCUUACACACUUUAAACCUUCUCUUGUCCUUCACCUGGAGAAUAAGUUCUCCUGUAAAGCCCUAUUUAAGCUUCAGUGGAGCUAAAUGCUGUUUAUUUGGGCUGUGUGUUUACGUAUCUGUUUAUUUGAACUAUUUGCUUGUUUACUUGGGCUAGGUGUUUUUUUUUUUUGAACGGCACAUAUUCCGCUGUGGUUUUGCCAGGCACUCAUGAAGCGGGCUUUGAGAGUGGAAACAGAGCGCGGUGAAACCCCUCCCAAAAAUAGCCCCGCCGGACCCCGGAACUUCCCGCCACAAGGGAACUGUUAAGUAAAUG